GAUGAACGCUGGCGGCGUGCCUAAUACAUGCAAGUCGAGCGAAUGGAUUAAGAGCUUGCUCUUAUGAAGUUAGCGGCGGACGGGUGAGUAACACGUGGGUAACCUGCCCAUAAGACUGGGAUAACUCCGGGAAACCGGGGCUAAUACCGGAUAACAUUUUGAACCGCAUGGUUCGAAAUUGAAAGUCGGCUUCGGCUGCCACUUAUGGAUGGACCCGCGUCGCAUUAGCUAGUUGGUGAGGUAACGGCUCACCAAGGCAACGAUGCGUAGCCGACCUGAGAGGGUGAUCGGCCACACUGGGACUGAGACACGGCCCAGACUCCUACGGGAGGCAGCAGUAGGGAAUCUUCCGCAAUGGACGAAAGUCUGACGGAGCAACGCCGCGUGAGUGAUGAAGGCUUUCGGGUCGUAAAACUCUGUUGUUAGGGAAGAACAAGUGCUAGUUGAAUAAGCUGGCACCUUGACGGUACCUAACCAGAAAGCCACGGCUAACUACGUGCCAGCAGCCGCGGUAA
rnacentral:rRNA from 1 species